UACGUAGGGUGCGAGCGUUGUCCGGAAUUAUUGGGCGUAAAGAGCUCGUAGGCGGUUUGUCACGUCUGCUGUGAAAUCCCGAGGCUCAACCUCGGGCCUGCAGUGGGUACGGGCAGACUGGAGUGCGGUAGGGGAGAAUGGAAUUCCUGGUGUAGCGGUGGAAUGCGCAGAUAUCAGGAGGAACACCGAUGGCGAAGGCGGCGACCUGGGUAGAUACUGACGCUGAGGCGCGAAAGCGUGGGGAGCAAACAGG
rnacentral:rRNA from 1 species